rnacentral:rRNA from 1 species
UACGGAGGGUGCAAGCGUUAUCCGGAUUCACUGGGUUUAAAGGGUGCGUAGGCGGACAGGUAAGUCAGUGGUGAAAUCUCUGGGCUUAACCCGGAAACUGCCGUUGAUACUAUUUGUCUUGAAUAUCCUGGAGGUAGGCGGAAUAUGUCAUGUAGCGGUGAAAUGCUUAGAUAUGACAUAGAACACCGAUAGCGAAGGCAGCUUACUACAGGAUGAUUGACGCUGAGGCACGAAAGCGUGGGGAGCAAACAGG